CGGUAACGAUGGAAAGCUUGCUUUCCAGGCGACGAGUGGCGGACGGGUGAGUAAUACAUAGGAAUCUGCCCAGUAGCGGGGGACAACCUGGGGAAGACCAGGCUAAUACCGCAUACGCGCCCUGGUUUAAUUUCUUCGGGGGAAAGCGGGGGAUCUUCGGACCUCUAAUUAUUGGGUCAUCCUUUUUCAGAUUAGCUUCUGGUAAAACCAU
rnacentral:rRNA from 1 species